AGAGAGGAGAAGGAAUCGAUUUUUGGAUCUGAGGUGCUGUCGUAAAGGCCUGUCCCAGUGUAGGGACAGGCUUCCUGGGACCAGAGCAGCCUCAGUGCCUCCCCCAGAGCAGCGCCACACCCCUGCACCCCAUUAGUCCCCCAGUGCCCCCAGUCCCCUCAACCCCCUCAUUGUCCCCUUAGAGCAUUGCGGAGAUUCCCAGGGCAGCCGGCAGAGGGCGCCCGCAUGCCUCCAGCCAGCGGGGCUGUUUGCUCCUGUGCUCAGAGCCUUAGGGGUAGGCGGUGCGCCAUGACGUCAUCUGACGCUGGGUUCCUCAGGGCACGAAGGGUUUGUGCCGCCAGCUGAGGACCCUCAGACCCUCAGACCCUCAGGGCUGCAUUUACAGCAAGUUCUGACGCUGCCCCGGAGAGACCCUCGGGUCUUUGCAGCAGCUUGGUGCCUCCUGUGGUGUGAUGCUGGAGUGGCCUUGUUGGCUGAGAGCUCUGGGCGGCCUCCCGAGACAUGCUGGGAAGGUGAGUGGGAACAGCUGAGUCCUGCCUUCAGAUAACUGGGAAGAAGAAAGAAUUUCAUAUGGGCUACCAGGAACGUGGGCAGAUGAAAGCCCUACUGCACAUUGUGCUCCACCUGACGAAAGCAGCUGUCGCUCCCAGGAACAGAAUGGAAGAGAGGCAGGAACAGCCGCAGCAGCCAGAGCUCCCCUCAGACAGCACCUUCUGAGAGCGGGAGCCUGCCUUCUGCCCGGUGUUUCCUGAACCCUUCCGCACCUAAUGCAGACGAUCCACG